GAUGAAGAACGCAGUGAAAUGCGAUACUUGGUGUGAAUUGCAGAAUCCCGUGAACCAUCGAGUCUUUGAACGCAAGUUGCGCCCGAAGCCAUUAGGCCGAGGGCACGCCUGCCUGGGUGUCACACGUCGUUGCCCCCCCAUCUACUCCUUCGGGAUUGCGGGGGGCGGAUGAUGGCCUCCCGUGCGCCUCGUCGCGCGGUUGGCAUAAAUGCCAAGUCCUCGGCGACGCACGCCACGACAAUCGGUGGUUGCGAAACCUCGGUUGCCCGUCGUGUGCGGUCGUCGCGCAUCGAGGGCUCGAAAAAAUUGCCGGGCUCCGGCUCGGCUUUCAACGCGACCCCAGGUCAGGCGGGGUUACCCGCUGAAUUUAAGCAUAUCAAUAAGCGGAGGA
rnacentral:misc_RNA from 1 species